CUGGAAUCCCAUUAUGAUCUCAUCCAUAUGCUUUGCAUAGGGGUUUGUUUGUGCAUAAUUUAAAUUUCCAAACAACACAAUAGGGACUCAUUUCAGAAGGAUGGCCUCUAGAAAGUCAGUGCCUAGUUCCAAAUGAAUUUAAUUGAAUUCUAAGGAUCUAUUAUUCAAAUGUCCACUACAUGCUAAGCACCAUACUAGGUAUCAGGGAAACAAAGGCAAAAGGGAAAUUUUCCCUGCCUUCAUGGAGUUUUUAUUCUAGCAGGGAGAAACAAUUUCAACCCCCAGAAGUGAAAUCAGGAUGUCUCUGACAUCAUUUCAGAAGAGAGGCCACAGAUCUGAUAGGAUGGGAUUGGAAGUGUUUAAAUGUGAAACCAGGAAAGACUCUCCUCUUUCUAUUGAAACCCAAACUAGGACACCAGGAGACAUCAUCUUCCUCCUUUCCUUGGUCAAGCCUAGUCAAGCAUCCAUAUUUGGAAGGCAGAUAUUUGGAAAGCAUUUUUGUAAAUGUUUGACAGUGGGAAAAUCAGAGAAGACCCAUAUAAGUAAGAAGAUUGGCCUCAAUAUAAUAAGAAGAGACUUAAAAGAGGCCAAGCCCCCGCCUGCUCUGAGGAUCCUGGCUGGAAAGCUCUAUGGGGCUGUAAAUUUCUCUGGUGAAAGGGAUCAGUGUUACAUUGCACAUCUAUCGAUCAGAUUUUGGAACUUUUGAAAAACAAGAAGCUUUGAAAUGUAAAACAAAAAGCCAUGUGCGAGUUUCCCUGUUGGAAAAUUUUCAAACAAAUUGUUUAGGGUUUUUUCCUCCCUCCCACUCUCCCCCCACCUUUCCUUUUAGUAAACAGCCCAUGUAUUUCCUUCUGAGAAUCAGUGUUAGAAAUGAUGAGGAUGGGAAUUAGGAGGACCAGAGUUCAGUUUUCCAGCAUUGCCACCACAAUUGGACAUUUUGACCUUGACUUUGACCAAGUCAUUCAGUCCCUUUGUGCAUAGGUUUCUCUGUUUGAGGGAGAAAAGGCUAACUACCUGGGGUGCCAGGGAGAUAGAAAGAAUCAUGAAAAAAUAAUCUAUGAAUGAAAUACUCCUUGUUAACUCCUUGAAUGAGAGGUGCAAGAAUAUUUACUGACUGGGAGACAGGAGACUAAAACUCUGAUUUUGGAAUUGCCACUGACUUGGUUUGUGCCUUUGGAUUAAUGGCUUAAUUGCUCUGUUCCUUGGUUUCCUCAUUUGUAAAGUGAAAUAUUGAACCAGAUAAUUAUCACAAAGGUCCUUUCCAGCUCUAGCAUUCUACAUGUCUAUUGUGCUAAACUUUCAAUUCCAUAUCUAAUUUUGAUGCACUGAAGAAUGUGAGAUUUAAAAUAGUGAAGCCCAUAAACUGUAGUGAGUUAAAAUGGUGGAAGAUAUAAAUUGUGAUAGAUAUAAGAGAGGGUGAGUAAAUUUGACUGCAGAAAUAUGUUUCACUACAGUGUCUUAGGUUUUAAAUCAAAUAUAAGGUGGUCACCAGGGAAAUAUUCCCAAUUUUUCAAAUACCCAAGUCAACUGGGUUUUAUAGAGAUUUUAAUUAACAAUACAAUGAGUAAUCAAAGAAAGAGAGAGAGAGUAAGAAAGGAAUAAGUAUGAAGGGCCUCAAGCCAAUAUGGCCUAGACCUGAGUCUUAAGAGAGAAAUCAGUCAGUUUUUUAACACUCACCACAAGGUCUGUCUAAACAAGGAUUCUAGUGACACCAGGCCAGCUCCAUCUCAGCUGAUUUCACCAGAGAGCCUUCCAGCCAGAGACUGUUCCAAAGGGCCUCUCUCCAGAGCCUCCAGAGGGACAGAGUCCCCUUAGAGGAGCUCCAGCAAGACCUCCUUAGAGACUGUCCUCCAAAAGCUUCCCUUCUCCAGAGCCUCUCUCAAGAGAUUCUUCCUGAGUGAUCCUCAUCAGAGAUCCUCCAAAAGGAUUUCUCCAAAAGGAUAUCUUCAAGAGAUCCUGCUUUUUCUUAUAUAGGGAUUUUUCUCCCAUGUCCCCUCCCCUAAGUCUCUACAUCUACCAAUCACUGUAGACCCUUCCAAAGGACUGCCCAUCUGAAUUCCUGCUAAGUCGACAAAUCUCCUCAGUAAGUCUGAACCAGUGAAAACACAGCUGAGUCAACUAAUCUCAUUAAGACAAAACUUGCCCAACCCUUUUAGGUACCUAGCAUCUCAUUGUAUCAAUUCUAAAAACAGGCCUGGCUCAAAGAACUCCUUGCCCCACCAUAAGCAUGGGUCCAAGUACUUUCAUUGUUUAGCAAGGAGUUUUUUCCCCCUAAAGCAGUCUUAAGUACAGUUGGAGUAGAGGUCCUCCCAUUUCUGAUCCUGGCGAGUUCUCACAUCAAAAUGGGGAAUGUUUCUCAGUAGGGAAUUUGUUCCAAUUAAGAAUUCCCUGAUGGGGAAAUUUUUAGCAUUCACAAGUCUGAGAGAUUUCAAGAUUUACAAGAAUCAGACGAGGUUUUAUUUCUAGAAUAAAUGCAACACAUCAGAAUAAUAGAAUUUGUCA
rnacentral:lncRNA from 1 species